GUAGGAUACGGGGAUGCCGUGCCCCAGACUACGAUAGGCAUGUUUCUGGGAGCCUUGUGUUCCAUAUCUGGUGUGAUCCUUGUGGCCAUUCCGCUCACAAUCAUCGGGACUAC
rfam:Branchiostoma floridae genomic scaffold BRAFLscaffold_36, whole genome shotgun sequence.